rnacentral:rRNA from 1 species
UUCCGUAGGUGAACCUGCGGAAGGAUCAUUAUUGAUUGUGAAUGGUUGCCUUCAGUGCUGGCUCCGGCAAGUGCACGCUGGUGACUUCAAUCCAAUACCCUUGUGAACCAUUGGCCUCUUGCUAGCUUCGGCUGGUAGAGGAUAUUUACACCAACUCGAAUGUAAUGAAAUUAUUGUUGUGCGCAAGCACUAAUGUACAACUUUCAACAACGGAUCUCUUGGCUCUCGCAUCGAUGAAGAACGCAGCGAAAUGCGAUAAGUAAUGUGAAUUGCAGAAUUCAGUGAAUCAUCGAAUCUUUGAACGCACCUUGCACCCUUUGGCAUUCCGAAGGGUAUGCUCGUUUGAGUGUCAUUGUACUCUCACACUUCCAAUUCUWUGGAUUGGGAGCGGUGGACUUGGGCGCUGCUGCUUUACUGUGGCUCACCUCAAAUGCAUUAGUGCAACCCUUGGUUAGACAUAGUACGGCGUGAUAAGUGUCUUCGCUGGCGCCUCACUUAGAGGGUGGCUGAUCAGGGGCUCUGUGCUUCAAACCGUCUUUGGACAAUGGCUGACAACUUGACCUCAAAUCGAGUAGGACUACCCGCUGAACUUAAGCAUAUCAAUAAGCGGAGGAAAAGAAACUAACAAGGAUUCCCCUAGUAACGGCGAGUGAAGAGGGAAGAGCUCAAAUUUUGAAUCUGGCGUCUUUGGCGUCCGAAUUGUAAUCUAGAGAAGUGUUUUCCGUGACGGACCGUGCAUAAGUCUCCUGGAAUGGAGUGUCAUAGAGGGUGAGAAUCCCGUAUAUGGCACGGACUCCCGUUGCUCUGUGAUACACUCUCGACGAGUCGAGUUGUUUGGGAAUGCAGCUCCAAAUGGGUGGUAAAUGCCAUCUAAAGCUAAAUAUUGGCGAGAGACCGAUAGCGAACAAGUACCGUGAGGGAAAGAUGAAAAGCACUUUGGAAAGAGAGUGAAACAGUACGUGAAAUUGUUGAAAGGGAAACGCUUGAAGUCAGUCGCGCCGUUCGGGAUUCAGCCUUGCUUCUGCUCGGUUUACUUCCCGUUGGGUGGGUCAACAUCAGUUCUAGACGGAGGAGAAAGGCUUGGGGAAGGUAGCAGCAUUCGUGCUGUGUUAUAGCCCCUUGUUGUAUACUUCGAUUGGGACUGAGGACUGCAGCACGCCUYUGGCCGGGGUUCGCCCACGUACGUGCUUAGGAUGUUGGCAUAAUGGCUUUAAGCGACCCGUCUUG